AGGCGCGAAAACUUUACAAUGCGGGCAACCGCGAUAAGGGGACCUCGAGUGCCGACAUCAAAUGUCGGCUGUCGUGAUGCCUAAAAAGCAUUACAUAGCAAGGGCCGGGCAAGACCGGUGCCAGCCGCCGCGGUAACACCGGCGGCUCGAGUGGUGACCGCUAUUAUUGGGUUUAAAGGGUCUGUAGCCGGCCGGAUAAGUCUCUUGGGAAAUCUGGCCGCUCAACGGUCAGGCUUUCAGGAGAUACUGUCUGGCUCGAGGCCGGGAGAGGUGAGAGGUACUUCAGGGGUAGGGGUGAAAUCUUGUAAUCCUUGAAGGACCACCAGUGGCGAAGGCGUCUCACCAGAACGGACCUGACGGCAAGGGACGAAAGCUAGGGGCACGAACCGGAUUAGAUACCCGGGUAGUCCUAGCCGUAAACGAUACUCGCUAGGUGUCGGCCACGGUGCGACCGUGGUCGGUGCCGCAGGGAAACCGUGAAGCGAGCCACCUGGGAAGUACGGCCGCAAGGCUGAAACUUAAAGGAAUUGGCGUGGGAGCACCACAACGGGUGGAGCUUGCGGUUUAAUUGGAUUCAACGCCGGAAAUCUUACCGGGAUCGACAGCGAAAUGAAGGCCAGGAUGAAGACCUUGCUGGAUUAGCUGAGAGGUGGUGCAUGGCCGUCGUCAGUUCGUACUGUGAAGCAUA
rnacentral:rRNA from 1 species